ACCAGCUCCACGUUGUCCAGCAUGUUCCCCGUGGAGGUCGCCAGUUCCCGAAGGAGGGAGUCUUCCAGAUCCUUCAGCAGGUUCUUGUUCUCACUCGUCUCCUGGAUGAGGUGCUCCCGCUGCUCCUCCAGCUCGCGCCUCUCGUGCAGGCCAACCCGAGAAAACGGGAGAAACGGCACUGUGUCCCUGACAGAACUCAGCCAAGAGGAAGGGCAGAAAUCCAAAAUCAUGCCGCGUAACGUACUUCAGUGCACCACACGGAGUAACUUUCGGCCCCAGCACAACAGGGUCUCACCACACUCCGGGUGUGGGUACCGGGGCCCGUGGUCCAGGCUCAGCACGCCCCAAGACACGUACCCCGCUGCCUUCCUAGGGGCGCCCAAACCUUCAUCACCAAGAACCGACCAGUUGCGAUCUGGCUAGGAGCGAAUGACCUGGGGUCACCUAACGAAACGGCGUCCCCUGAAAGCUCUGGUCCCCAGUUGUGGUCUCCGUGGGAACCACCCUAAUUCGCCACUGAGGUUCUGUACAUCCUUACCGGUGUAGUUGAUGACCAUGGCUUUCCCAAACACAGACGGGCUGUAUCUGGGAUUGGCCAGCUUGGUGUUUAGGUACAGUCUGAAAUUUGAGUCGUAAUCCACCUCCUUAUCCCCCAGGAUGAUAAACUGCCGUCCUUGGGAGACUUUGAUAUUCUUUUCUAAGACGUUAUCGAUCACCGGAUCGAUGUACUCGUCCACGUCGUGGAACAGGAAAGGGGUCCCAUACUUUACGGCCAUCUCCAGCUGCUUGAGGAAGUCGGGGUCAUUGAAGGAAGCAACCUGCAAGACGGAGAAUUAAAAAAAAAAAAAAUGAGCAUCUAAGCCCUGGAUGGGUAGGGUGCCCCUUCCAGCUCCUGGCAGCUGAAAGACGUGCCCAGUUGAGGGCCUGCUGCUGGGGGUCGAUGCAGAGGGGGAACCGGCUGGCCCGGGUGGUAAGGAUGCCAUUCUGAACCGAGAGCUCAUCGGGGGGCAGUCCCUGGGAGCCCCACCUGGAAGAACAGUGACAGGGAAAUGUAU